rnacentral:tRNA from 1 species
UGGAAUGUAGCUCAGUGGCAGAGCACUUGCCUAGAAUGCACCAGGCCCUGGGUUCCAUUCCCAGCACAG